AGGAAAGGAAGGGCUCAUGAUCCAAAGCAUACCACAUCAUCCGUCAAACAUGUGGAGGCAGUGUUAUGGCA